GCAAACGGGUGGUAAACAUUACCUAAGGCUAAAUAUUGGCGAGAGACCGAUAGCGAACAAGUACCGUGAGGGAAAGAUGAAAAGAACUUUGAAAAGAGAGUUAAACAGUACGUGAAAUUGUUGAAAGGGAAACGAUUGAAGUCAGUCGUGCCGGCGCGAAAUCAGCUUGACCGUAGGAGAUCACAGGCUGUGGCGAGCCUCAAAACCGCCACAACUUGUGCUCCCCUGUCGGCCUCGUGCACUUUCGUGUCGGCUGGUUAACAUCAAUUUCGAUCGUCAUAAAAAGGCUGGAGGGAUGUGGCUCCUUCGGGAGUGUUAUAACCUUUGGCGGAAUGUGGUGGUCGGGAUUGAGGCUUGCAACGAAUACCUUCAGGGCUGUCCCACCUGGCCUCUCGUCGGCAUCCUGGCGACGACAGCUUGCUUGACGUUGUUAGGAUCAGCUUUCGAACAGGCUAGAGUGUGAGCAAAUUCGUUAAGGAUGUUAACGUAAUGGCUUUAAACGACCCGUCUUGAAACACGGACCAAGGAG
rnacentral:rRNA from 1 species